AGCGAACGCUGGCGGCAGGCUUAACACAUGCAAGUCGAGCGGGCAUCUUCGGAUGUCUGCGGCAGACGGGUGAGUAACACGUGGGAACGUACCCUUCGGUUCGGAACAACUCUGGGAAACUGGAGCUAAUACCGGCUACGCCCUCAUGGGGACAGGUUUACUGCCGAAGGAACGGUCCGGGUCGGAUUUGCCAGUUGGGGGGGUAACGGCCUACCUAGGUGACGAUCCGUAGGUCGUCUGAGAGGAAGAUCAGUCACACUGGGACUGAGAAACGGCCCAGACUCCGACGGGAGGCAGCAGUGGGCAAUAUUGGACAAUGGGCGAAAGAGGGAGACAGCAAAGCAGAGUGUGUGAAGAAGGUCUUAGGAUUGUAAAGCAAGUUAAGUGUGGAGGAAGGGGAGUAACUUAAUACCUUGCUGUCUUGAAGGUACCAACAGAAUAAACCCCGGCAGAUUUCGUG
rnacentral:rRNA from 1 species